AGGGAACCGAGGUAACAUUCAUACAUCAUCACUUCAUGUUUCCCAGGGAACCGAGGUAACAUUCAUACAUCAUCACUUCAUGUUUCCCAGGGAACCGAGGUAACAUUCAUACAUCAUCACUUCAUGUUUCCCAGGGAACCGAGGUAACAUUCAUACAUCAUCACUUCAUGUUUCCCAGGGAACCGACAUACAUCAUCACUUCAUGUUUCCCAGGGAACCGACAUACAUCAUCACUUCAUGUUUCCCAGGGAACCGACAUACAUCAUCACUUCAUGUUUCCCAGGGAACCGACGUAACAUUCAUACAUCAUCACUUCAUGUUUCCCAGGGAACCGACAUACAUCAUCACUUCAUGUUUCCCAGGGAACCGACGUAACA